GAUGAACGCUAGCUACAGGCUUAACACAUGCAAGUCGAACGGAACUUACCGAAUGAAGCUUUCGGGUGGAUUUUGAUAAGUUUAGUGGCGGACGGGUGAGUAACGCGUGAGUAACCUGCCUUCAAGAGGGGAAGUAACGUUCUGAAAGAACGACUAUACCGCAUAACAUACGGAUGUCGCAUGGCAACCGUAUCAAAGAUUUAUCGCUUGAAGAUGGACUCGCGUCCGAUUAGCCAGUUGGCGGGGUAACGGCCCGACCAAAGCGACGAUCGGUAGCCGGACUGAGAGGUUGAACGGCCACAUUGGGACUGAGACACGGCCCAGACUCCUACGGGAGGCAGCAGUGGGGAUAUUGCGCAAUGGGGGCAACCCUGACGCAGCAACGCCGCGUGAACGAUGAAGGU
rnacentral:rRNA from 1 species